GUCAGUCCGUAGCCUGCAGGCUCUCCUGGAGGAGCGCAAACGCGAGGCAGAGGGAUUUCACAGGCAGCUGGGGGAGCUGGAGCUGCACAAAAGCCGCCUGCAGAUGGCGCAACUGAGCCUGCAACUUUCUGCUGAGAAGCGGGAUUGCGCCAGCUGGACCCUGGAGAGAGAAGCUCUCAGGAACGUGGCACAGCAGAGUGACCAGCAAGGUGACAAGAAACAAGUGAUGCUCCCGGCGCUUGUGGACCCUGUCUUCAGUGAAUUGACGGGCUUCAUCAUGUGGUGAUGCAAAGAACUGCAAGUUCGUAGGUUGAGACGGAGUUGCUGGAUGAGGGCAGGGACCUUUAUUGAGGCAAGGUGUUACAUUGACAUUUAAAAAUUCUCACGGCAUCCCACCCCAAAAGAAUGUGUUACAAAAAUAAUGUAUCCAGAAUAAACAUAAUUGCUAAUGCGAACAAUUGUCAAUUGGCAACAGGUCUAGACACCAGUUAAUUUGAUCUUGUCAUCUUGUGUAAGAGCAUUUAAUUGUUUUGUAAUCGAUUUUUCUGAUCGAACAAUUUCCAUGUGCCGCAGCAGUGGUUGGGAGUCGCUGCCUCAAGCAUGAUUGCUUCCAGAAUGAAUGUGGAUGGGUUUUUUUUUGUUUUGUUUUUGCAGCUGCAAAAUAUAUUCAAUUCAAAAAUUGUAUUUCUAUAGAAAAUGAUGACAGAAAGGUUUGCAGAACUCUCGUGUGAAACUUGUAACGGAGAUGAGACGUCAUUGAGCCACUGACGCUUUCAUUUACGGCUCACGUUUUAUUGUCAGGAUUGAAGUAUGAUAUCUGACACUACUUCUGGCUUUAUGGUGGCACUUAUAUUGAUGCCGUUCUAUUCGGAAUGGCUGCUUUUAAAUCACAGUCAUGAAAUGAAAUGCAUUAUCAGUGUUUGGUAAAUGUGACUCACAUGACAUUUGGAUGACUUUUUUUUUCACGCUUCGCAUGCACAUUUAGUAUUUGAAAGCGAUGACAAAAUAAAUACAGCCACACGCCAACAGAUGUAAAAACACAAAGCACAUUUUAUAAUAAAAAUAAAAUAAAAUACAGCCAAAAUAAAAAGCAAACAAAGAAGCAAACUACAUAGACAAAUUUAAUACAAACAAGAGACAGAUGAGCCCAGUCAUGAGAUGUUUCAAUCCCUUUACAUGGAGAUGACGCAGGAGGUCGGGGAUUAUUAAAAGAGACAUAAUGAGAUGGUUUGAGCUUCAAUAGUCAACAUUAAAUAUUCUCCGUACAUAACACAACAGCUAAAUGUCACAAGCAUCAAGGCAAUGGAAUUUUAAUGAGCCAAAGUUGUUUUGAUUUGUCGAAAUUGAUGCUUUUUGCAUACAGAGGUCCCCAUCAACUUUGCAUGUGGCUUUCGUUUUAUUGCACUGGCUCAAGUUCAGGAAAAAAACAAAAGAAAUCUGACUUGAUUGCCCCCUGGAAGAUCGUGGUGCUGAAGAUCUCGUCCGUUCGAAAGCAAGAUGCUGUGGACAACAUUUAACAGUGCAAAAAACAUUGGAUUGCUUUUGUUCUUUGUGACAUUCAAAAUGAAGCCUUUUUACAAAAUUCCACUUGAAUACUUAGGUGACAUUCUGUACAUUCAGGCUCUGCAUGUGACCAUCACAUAACAGCUCAAACUGGGAAGAUGUGAUCAAAAAUUAAUAUUUGGCAUCAGAAAUAUGACCACCGUGUCCUGCGUGUGCGUUUGUUAGCCGUAAAACUUUUUUUUUAAAUGGAGGUUGAAUGCAGGUGAUUACAGGGCUAAAUAAAAUAUGCAAGUCAUAUUUUUCCAUACAAUAAAAAAGAAAAACACACACACCUGAGGAUUGCUAUCAUUGUGAAAAGUUCCAAAUGGCUGCUGCCGCGUCUUUAUGGCUU